rnacentral:rRNA from 1 species
UCGCCUGUUUUAUCAAAAACAUAGCCUUUAGCCUAACAAGUAUUAAAGGUCCCGCCUGCCCAGUGAAUCUUCAACGGCCGCGGUAUCCUAACCGUGCAAAGGUAGCAUAAUCACUUGUCUCUUAAAUAGGGACUAGAAUGAACGGCUAAAUGAGGAUUAAACUGUCUCUUGCACCCAGCCAAUGAAACUGAUCUUUUAGUUCAAAAGCUAAAAUAAACACAUAAGACGAGAAGACCCUGCGGAGCUUUAAACCAAGCUCACCCACCAUGACACCUUGGUUUUUAGUUGGGGCGACUUCGGAGCACAAAAAACCCUCCGAUAUGGAAUUUUCCACACCAAGAUCAACACAUCAAAACACUAAGACCCAGCAGUCUAAUACCUGGCUGCCUGAUUAACGAACCAAGUUACCCCAGGGAUAACAGCGCCAUCCCCUUCUAGAGUCCCUAUCGACAAGGGGGUUUACGACCUCGAUGUUGGAUCAGGACUCCCCAAUAGUGCAGCCGCUAUUAAAGGUUCGUUUGUUCAACGGUUAAAGUCCUACGUGAUCUGAGUUCAGACCRGA